rnacentral:rRNA from 1 species
UACAGAGGGGGCAAGCGUUGUCCGGAAUUAUUGGGCGUAAAGGGCUCGUAGGCGGUCUGUUGCGUCAGGAGUGAAAAACUCGGGGGCUUAACCCCGAGCCUGCUUCUGAUACGGGCAGACUAGAGGUAUGCAGGGGAGAACGGAAAUUCCUGGUGUAGCGGUGAAAAUGCGCAGAUAUCAGGAGGAACACCGGUGGCGAAGGCGGUUCUCUGGGGCAUUACCUGACG